AAGUAACGCUAUAACACGAAUCCA
rnacentral:siRNA from 1 species